rnacentral:misc_RNA from 1 species
AAGUCGUAACAAGGUUUCCGUAGGUGAACCUGCGGAAGGAUCAUUAAAUACAGUAGAUUUCUACUGAUCGGGGGGUGGGAAGAUCCAGUUUCGAUUACUGGACCAGCCGAGUAAAGCCCCCUGCUCUGCACCCUUGCUCUUUUGCUGUACUCAUGUUUCCUUUGGCUGGGCGUUGCCUGCCGAAUGGACAACUCUAAAACCCUUUUAAUUUUUAAUCAGCGUCUGAACAAUUAUAAUAAUUACAA